GGCUACUUUAAGGAAUCUAAAAUAUAAACACAUUUAAAGUUAUUUUACAAUUUUUUGUUUGCUUCAAAAAUAGUUGUAAACAUAAAGGAAUCCAAUAAAUGAGAAAUGCGUUCUAAAACUUUUGACCGGUACUGGUAUUUAUACACAUUUCUGACUGGAGCUGUAGAGUUUGGCAUAACAGAGAAAAGUCUUGAUGCUUGUCAGAGAACUGUUGUACUGUUUGUGCAGAAAAAUCAACACACUUCUCAAGUCCUUCUGUAAACCUUUUCACCUUUAUUUUCUACAUUUGGAUCAGCUCAGUGUGGAAGCCUGGACAUGUCAGUUCCUUUUAACCUCGCCCUCUCCACGGCCCCCAACAUGGGAACAAAUGAGACACUCCCUCGGUCUCACUAUCAAAAACAUCUUCACCGCCACAGUCACUCGCUCUGAUAUGAAAGUCCUGUCGAUGGCCUCCUCUCUGUCGAUCAAAGAAAAGUCUGCAUGGCGUGUAAACCCUUCCUCCACUGGAGGAUGCUGAAAUGUUUUAAACCUUUACAAAAUGACUCAUGCUGACUUACAGCAGCAGGAGUGACAACAAAACAAAAACACAGUAUCAUGAAGGUUGAAAUGAUGACAGUUCUUUUGUCUGAAACUGAAAUAUGAAUGUAGAAAUUUGCAAAACAAAAAAGUGAUUAUAAGUGAAGAUAUGGUCUGCUCCCUCUAGCUCUCCAAUUAUUCCCUUACCAUCUAAUUUUCCUAAAACACCAAAUAAACACUGCUUAUGUAUCCUAACAGCAGCUGUACUGCUGCCGAUAUGUCUGCACAGAUAUGAAAGCAGGGGUAUGCUGAUCUUUAGUCAGCAGUAGGUUCUGUUUGCCAUAAAAAAAAUAAAUCAAGUUUGACCUAGUAAUCAUGGAUGAAAAACUGGGAUAAGUACUGAAGAAAAGCACAUUCACACCUGCACAGAUGCAUCCACACACUCCACUGCAGGAAAGAAGCCCUUGGAGUGUAUUUCAUAAAAGAGGUCGAUAUGGGAUUACAUUUGCAUCUCAACAAAUAGGAUUGACAAUAAAAAGUUAAAUUAUUUCAGUAACUCAACUUUAUGCAUUCAUUACAGAUAGUUGGUGUUACUUUUUAUUUUGAUGAUUAUGGUGCAUACCUAAUAAAACCCCAACAUUCAGUUUCCCAGAAAAUUAUAAUAUUACUUAAGACCAAUUAAAAUGUGGUUUCAAUGUAGAAAUAUUUUCUCCAACAUUAUAGGAAAGACUGUUGAUUAUAUUGUUGUCCAGUGGGGAGUCAUGGACAUCCCUCCAUAUGGAGGAUAAGUCACAAAAGGUCAUUAUCCAGUUCUAGAUACAAGCAUUAUAAAGGAAAGCUUAGUGGAAGGAAAAAUGUUUUAGAAACUUAGGGAUGUCCGUGGUCUUAAGAGGAUUAUGAAGAAAGGCCCAUUCAAAAAAAUCAGGUGGAGAUUCACCAGGAGUGGACUGCAGCUAGAGUUAAACUGUCAACAACCACCACUCACAAACAUAUUCUUGUUUUCCAAUAUCACUGAAGUUUUAUGUUGUCAUACCCAUUACAACCUGGAAAAAUAAUGGUUCAAAUGCAUCAUUAAACCCAAAUGGUCUGACUACAGCUUGGGAUUUUAUGACAGCUGUUACUUUGCUUGUGUUAAGGUACUCCUGAACCAGAGACC